ACUGGUCUUCAGCCAAGGGUAUACAAGUAGCUGUGUUCCCAUGCUAGAAUCUCCAAACAAGCUCUCAAGGUCCAUUGUAGGAAUGUAGGGUAGUAAAGC
rnacentral:sRNA from 14 species